rnacentral:lncRNA from 1 species
GAGGAUUAGGACUUCAGAUGGAGAAGUCACAUAUUUUAUGAAGCACAAAGGUCCUGGCAGGUGUCCCCUGGCAGCUCUCUCUGUUCCCCGGGGAGACACAGUCACACACAAGCCGGGAGGAGGAGGGAAGGAAAAUAGGGGUGAGUUGGAGGGAAGACUUCAGGAUAGGACAAUACUGUAAGUAACAGGAUGAUUACAGCAGCACAGAGCAAUCAGAGGUGGGGAGUGGCAGGGAACGCAGGAACAAAUGCUCCUGAAGGGCCCUGAAUGCUAAACAAAAGGUCCAGACCUUGAUCUUAAGAACAGACAGCCCAGAAAGGCUCUGAGUGACACUCUAUGACCAGGGACAGGGAAAUCGGAAAGGAAGUUUAUCAAGUUGAAGGUUAAACGAGAUCCUGAAUGUGAGAGGACAUGUCACCACGGGUCAAAAGAGUUGCUCUAAAGAGAGCAUUAGUGCAUGAGUGAAAUAAGACAUGGAAGGUAGCCGUGGUGUGUGAGGAGUCAAGAGAAUGGGCUGUUCUGACAGAGACAUGAAUGGGAAGAUGAAGAGCAUCACUUCCAAAUCCUUUUGCAAACCCUCUGUUUUCUCUGCCAGCCACACCUCUGAAGAUCAAGCAGCAUCCUGCCUUACCUGGGUUCCAAAUCGGAAAUGCUUUCUAGAAAUCCUGAAUUUCCCAAACUCAAAUCUCCUGGGUUCAGAUCGGAACCUAGCAUUUCAGCAAAGUUCCCAAAUCAGUCUUAGCUCCCAGACGGCCUUACAAUCUGGAAGCAGUGGCUUGGACAGUCAUUAGUUGCCCCGGUAAUCUUUCUGCAUACAAUAAGUAGCCCUUGCUAUACAGUUUCAGGAAUUGUUUAGAUAGGGGUGGGGGGAGUGUGUGCUUUGUGACAGGUUCUCAAGUAACCCAGGCUAGCCUCAAACUCACAACUGAACCAGAGAUUGACCUUGAACGUCAGAUCGCCCUGCUUCUACUUCCAUAGUGCCAAGAUUAAAGACUGUGAGAGCAAACUUGUCACACC